rnacentral:rRNA from 1 species
UACGUAGGGGGCAAGCGUUGUCCGGAAUUAUUGGGCGUAAAGAGCGUGUAGGCGGUCCGGUAAGUCAGCUGUGAAAGUCAAGGGCUCAACCCUUGAAAGCCGGUUGAUACUGUCGGGCUAGAGUCCGGAAGAGGCGAGUGGAAUUCCCGGUGUAGCGGUGAAAUGCGCAGAUAUCAGGAGGAACACCAAUGGCGAAGGCAGCUCUCUGGUACAUGAGUGACGCUGAGACGCGAAAGCGUGGGGAGCGAACAGG